rnacentral:lncRNA from 1 species
AAUUCAUCAUGAACAAGCCAAUGCUUUGACUACCCUUAGGAGUGGACGUGUAGUAGACAAUAAGAUUGGGAAGGACAACAAUAAGGAAGGUGAAGAAGAGGAUAAAAAUGUGUCAAAUGAAAAUCUAAAACCUUCUCCUUCUUCUUCAGCUAGUCCACCUUCUGCCAAAACUCGUAUCCCAAAGGCCCCAUUUUCUGAAGCUCUUAAUUCACCCUCUCCCUUUGGCAAAAAAGGAACUUCACUAGAGGAGAUGAUGGAGGUUUUCAAACAAGUG